rnacentral:misc_RNA from 1 species
GAUGAAGAACGCAGCUAAAUGCGAUAAGUAGUGUGAAUUGCAGAAUUCAGUGAAUCAUCGAAUCUUUGAACGCACAUUGCGCCCCUUGGUAUUCCAUGGGGCAUGCCUGUUCGAGCGUCAUUUGUACCUUCAAGCUCUGCUUGGUGUUGGGUGUUUGUCUCGCCUCUGCGUGUAGACUCGCCUCAAAACAAUUGGCAGCCGGCGUAUUGAUUUCGGAGCGCAGUACAUCUCGCGCUUUGCACUCAUAACGACGACGUCCAAAAGUACAUUUUUACACUCUUGACCUCAGAUCAGGUAGGGAUACCCGCUGAACUUAAGCAUAUCAAUAAGCGGAGGA